rnacentral:tRNA from 1 species
AAGGCUUUAGCUUAAUUAGAGUGUUUGAGUUGCAUUCAAAAGGUGUGGGAUAAAGUCCUGCAAGUCUUA